rnacentral:rRNA from 1 species
AGCGAAAGGGAUUAGAUACCCCUGUAGUCCUAGCAGUAAACGGUGCUCGCUUGGUGUGGGAGGAUUCGACCCCUUCUGUGCCGGAGCUAACGCGUUAAGCGAGCCGCCUGGGAAGUACGGUCGCAAGACUAAAACUCAAAGAAAUUGACGGGGACCCGCACAAGCGGUGGAGUAUGUGGCUUAAUUCGAUGCAACGCGAAGAACCUUACCUAGGCUUGACAUGCUUGUCGUACUCUCCCGAAAAGGAGAGGUCACUUCGGGUGGACAAUGCACAGGUGCUGCAUGGCCGUCGUCAGCUCGUGUCGUGAGAUGUUUGGUUAAGUCCAGCAACGAGCGCAACCCCUGUGAACUGUUGCCAGCGCGUAAAGGCGGGGACUCUGUUCAGACUGCCCAGAUCAACUGGGAGGAAGGUGGGGACGACGUCAGGUCAGUAUGGCCCUUACGCCUAGGGCUGCACACGUACUACAAUGCCCAGCACAAUGAGAACCGAUACCGCGAGGUGGAGGAAAUCUGCAAAACUGGGCCCAGUUCGGAUUGGAGGCUGCAACUCGCCUCCAUGAAGUCGGAAUCGCUAGUAAUGCCGUAUCAGCUACGACGGCGUGAAUACGUUCCCGGGUCUUGUACACACCGCCCGUCACAUCAUGGAAGCCGGUCGCACCCGAAGUAUAUGCGCUAACUUUAUUGAAGCAGUAUCCUAAGGUGAGGCUGGUAACUGGGAUGAAGUCGUAACAAGGUAGCCGUAGGGGAACCUGCGGCUG